rnacentral:rRNA from 1 species
AUUGAACGCUGGCGGCAUGCCUUACACAUGCAAGUCGAACGGCAGCAGACCUUCGGGUGCCGGCGAGUGGCGAACGGGUGAGUAAUAUAUCGGAACGUACCUUUCAGUGGGGGAUAACGUAGCGAAAGUUACGCUAAUACCGCAUAUUCUGUGAGCAGGAAAGCAGGGGAUCGCAAGACCUUGCGCUGAUUGAGCGGCCGAUAUCAGAUUAGCUAGUUGGUGAGGUAAAGGCUCACCAAGGCGACGAUCUGUAGCGGGUCUGAGAGGAUGAUCUGCCACACUGGAACUGAGACACGGUCCAGACUCCUACGGGAGGCAGCAGCGGGGAAUUUUGGACAAUGGGCGCAAGCCUGAUCCAGCCAUGCCGCGUGAGUGAAGAAGGCCU